rnacentral:rRNA from 1 species
AUUGAACGCUGGCGGCAGGCCUAACACAUGCAAGUCGAACGGUAACAGGAAGCAGCUUGCUGCUUUGCUGACGAGUGGCGGACGGGUGAGUAAUGUCUGGGAAACUGCCCGAUGGAGGGGGAUAACUACUGGAAACGGUAGCUAAUACCGCAUAACGUCGCAAGACCAAAGAGGGGGACCUUAGGGCCUCUUGCCAUCGGAUGUGCCCAGAUGGGAUUAGCUAGUAGGUGGGGUAACGGCCCACCUAGGCGACGAUCCCUAGCUGGUCUGAGAGGAUGACCAGCCACACUGGAACUGAGACACGGUCCAGACUCCUACGGGAGGCAGCAGUGGGGAAUAUUGCACAAUGGGCGCAAGCCUGAUGCAGCCAUGCCGCGUGUAUGAAGAAGGCCUUCGGGUUGUAAAGUACUUUCAGCGGGGAGGAAGGGAGUAAAGUUAAUACCUUUGCUCAUUGACGUUACCCGCAGAAGAAGCACCGGCUAACUCCGUG